rnacentral:tRNA from 1 species
AUCAGGAUGGCUGAGUGGUUAAGGUGUUGGACUUAAGAGCCAAUAAAUGUUUGUUUGCAUGGGUUCAAACCUAACUCCUGGUA